UGGGGAAUAUUGGACAAUGGGCGCAAGCCUGAUCCAGCCAUGCCGCGUGAGUGACGAAGGUCUUCGGAUUGUAAAGCUCUUUUGCCAGGGACGAUAAUGACGGUACCUGGAGAAUAAGCCCCGGCUAACUUCGUGCCAGCAGCCGCGGUAAUACGAAGGGGGCUAGCGUUGUUCGGAAUUACUGGGCGUAAAGCGCACGUAGGCGGAUUUGUUAGUCAGGGGUGAAAUCCCGGGGCUCAACCUCGGAACUGCCUUUGAUACUGCAAGUCUCGAGUCCGAUAGAGGUGAGUGGAAUUCCUAGUGUAGAGGUGAAAUUCGUAGAUAUUAGGAAGAACACCAGUGGCGAAGGCGGCUCACUGGAUCGGUACUGACGCUGAGGUGCGAAAGCGUGGGGAGCAAACAGGAUUAGAUACCCAGGUAGUCCCUGAGCGGGCUGGCAAGGCGCAU
rnacentral:rRNA from 1 species